UAUUAAAUGAAGACGAAAAAGAGUACCCUAAUCCUUAGUUUCCAGGGAGAAUAAUCGGUUGACUGCAAGUUAUUCAACUAAGUUUAGGUGAAGUUCACUUUCUGAGUUGACCAAUUGGUCCGGAAUUGCCCGUUAGCGCAAACUUAAGUGUACGACUGAAGGAUAGGCGUAAACUAGGGUGGUACCGCGAAGCUUCGUCCCUUUU
rnacentral:ncRNA from 1 species